rnacentral:rRNA from 1 species
AGAACGAACGCUGGCGGCAUGCCUAACACAUGCAAGUCGAACGAGACCUUCGGGUCUAGUGGCGCACGGGUGCGUAACGCGUGGGAACCUGCCCUUAGGUUCGGAAUAACUCAGAGAAAUUUGAGCUAAUACCGGAUAAUGUCUUCGGACCAAAGAUUUAUCGCCUAUGGAUGGGCCCGCGUAGGAUUAGCUAGUUGGUGGGGUAAAGGCCUACCAAGGCGACGACCCUUAGCUGGUCUGAGAGGAUGAUCAGCCACACUGGGACUGAGACACGGCCCAGACUCCUGCGGGAGGCAGCAGUGGGGAAUAUUGGACAAUGGGCGAAAGCCUGAUCCAGCAAUGCCGCGUGAGUGAUGAAGGCCUUAGGGUGUAAAGCUCUUUUACCCGGGAUGAUAAUGACAGUACCGGAGAAUAAGCUCCGGCUAACUCCGCGCCAGCAGCGC